rnacentral:rRNA from 1 species
AACGAACGCUGGCGGCAUGCCUAACACAUGCAAGUCGAACGAGACCUUCGGGUCUAGUGGCGCACGGGUGCGUAACGCGUGGGAACCUGCCCUUAGGUUCGGAAUAACUCCCCGAAAGGGGUGCUAAUACCGGAUAAUGUCUUCGGACCAAAGAUUUAUCGCCUUUGGAUGGGCCCGCGUUGGAUUAGCUAGUUGGUAGGGUAAAAGCCUACCAAGGCGACGAUCCAUAGCUGGUCUGAGAGGAUGAUCAGCCACACUGGGACUGAGACACGGCCCAGACUCGUACGGGAGGCAGCAGUGGGGAAUAUUGGACGAUGGGCGAAAGCCUGAUCCAGCAAUGCCGCGUGAGUGAUGAAGGCCUUAGGGUUGUAAAGCUCUUUUACCCGGGAUGAUAAUGACAGUACCGGGAGAAUAAGCGCCGGCUAACUCCGUG